AGGUGCUGACAGAGCAGUGAAGGCCACCCAGGCUGUUUGCCUGUCACUUCUGUGACCCAGCACAAGCGGGAAGCCGUGGCUGAGUGAAGGGGCGUGCUGCAGCCCCAGAGGAGGAGCUGGAGGAGGGUGGAGGCUGGCACCGGGGUAUCUGGAUUGCUCCCGGCCGCCCAGCUCUGCCCAGAGGCAGAGGCGACAGUCCCAGGUUGCAGUGGGCCUGUCCAUCGGGCAGCCGCCCGUGAGCUGGGCAACUCCCUGCUGUUUCCCGUCGGUUCUUCUAGCCCUGGGAUGGUUUCCUCUGGCCGCUUCUCUGAUUCCCCGAGCAGGAUCUCACUAAGUUGCUGGGGCUGGCCUCAAACUUUCGAUCCUCCUACCUCAGCCUCCUGAGUUGCUGGGAUAGCAGCAUCUGGCUCGUGGACAUGGACUCUUCCCAUCCUAGGGGACAGAUGGUGGGGAACUGAGGCAGAUGUCCGUGUGGAUCAAAGCCUAGAACUUGGGCUAGGAAACCUCAGGGAAGAAGAGACACGGAGCCUGUCCCCGAAUGGUUAGCAGGACUUCAUCAGGCAGAGAAACGGAGAAGGGCUCUGCAGGCCAUGAGGCACCCUGACCAAGGGCUCUGUGGUAACAGAGGCCAUAGGCGGGGCCCUGGGAGGGAAGGAGGCCAGCAGGAGGUCUGCACCUGAAGCCACCUGGAGGCCACACCUGGGGUCAGGUAAUUGAAGCCUGGGACUGCACACCGUGGAGCAUUUCUUAGGAGCCAGGCCCUGUACUCGGCAUGGCGGGGGAUGGCGGUGACUAAGGCAUAGUCAUCCGUGAGUCGGGGCCAUCUCUGUGCCCUGUGGUCACGGACCCACACUGUCGCUGGCGCACCAGCUGACCCAGUGACCGGGAGGCUGCCCCUCCUUGGGCCGGACCUCCUCCAUAAAACAAGCUGAGCAGAGCUGGCCUCCUGGGGACGGGCUCCUUGAGCUCUCCAUGAAAGAGUCUAUAAAUCCGCCCCUAGCAGACCGGGCAGCUAGAGGAGCAAGCCCACAUCAAUCCUGGGGAGGCAGAGGAACAGCCCCUGGGAGCUGGGGCCACCAGGCUCCUCUGAGGUUACCGCCCACUGAGAGCUGCUGCCAGGAGCCUGACAUGAAAGUCCCCGCCCCCGCCAGGGCCUCCCGUGAUGGCGAAAUGACAGACGCCAACAUCCCGGCUGCUGACUGACGCUGAGAGCGAGCGGGGAGGGGAAGUGGAGGUGACUCUGGUUGCUGCAGGAGGUGGCUGGAGACUCUCACAGCAUGCCAGGCACCGACUGUGGACCUGCCAUGUGUCCCUGGGGGAGGCAGAGAGGAACUGCCACCGGGGAGGGGGGGGGGACAGGGAGGCCCUGUCUCCAGAAGCACAGAGAAUCCACUUGACCUUGACUAUGGGUCCAGAACACACCAGGAGCCUCAUCUCCCUCCUCACACCCAAGACCACGCGUGUAGGUGGGCAGUAAUUGGACGUCUAUGUCCCUUUCCUCACUUGAACUCACACCUGAGAAAAUGCAGGCCAGAGAAUCCGGUUGGCUUGUCCAAGAUCACAGAGCCAACUGGUGUGGCAGGCAGAUAGGACAGCUGUGAUUAUUAGUUAGUUGCAUUUUCUGAAUAAGGAAAACGGCUCAGAGAGGUUAAGUAACUCAGCCACAGUCACAGAGUGAGCAAGUAGCGCACUUGGCCUACAUCAGGGCUGUGGGUUCCUUGUCCUCAAGUGCAUUCACAGCCUCCCUGGAGUGGGACCUCCUUGCUGUGCUCAUGAUUGUGCCAGGGCCCUCCCUGUCUCGUGACCAUCCUCACUGACACCCCCAUCAGACUUCCUCUGGACACUCAGACCCACCUCCCACCCUCCUGCCCCUCUUCCCUCCUGGUCCACACGCUCGGCAUCUGCUCCCCCAGGCUCUUCUCUCUGCCCUACAGUCUGCUUCGCACCGUCCUAACAGGAGCCACGGUGCUUGGGUGGCCUCUGCAGGCAGUGGCUGGAGAGGGAGCGAUUGGGGCCCACUGCCAACCUUUCUCCUGGGCGUGGCACCUGAGCUUUAGGGGCCCACGAAAUAUUUUCAUCUUGAUUUCUUGUACACCAGGAGAACCGAGCAUGGCGCACACCUGUAAUCCCAAGCAACUUGGGAGCCUGAAUCGGGAUGACCUGGAGUGCAAGAUGAGCCCGGGCAGCUGAGAGCCCCCAACUCAAAACCAACCAAGAAGCAUUUUUCCCAAGAGCACAAAUCCAUUUUAGUUUAUUUGGCAUUAAUUGAAAUCCUUGAAGGGACAGCAUGACACAGACUCUGCAUCGCAUGGCCUUAGCAGAAAAGUUGCUUCCUCAUGGGGCUUGAACUGUCCACUGUUUCCAUGGACACGAGUCACCUUCCCCCAGAUUACUCGGGUUUGGCUUGCCACCAGGAGUCACUGUGCUGUUUUUUGCUUUGUACACAGAAGCACAACUGUGGGAGGCCGCCUGCCCACGAGCUAAGCACCCCCUCAGCCCUGAGUAAAGGGGCUGUCCGCCUGGCACCGCAGCGCUGUGCGAAGCCAGUGGCCUUCACCUUGGCUGGGCAAAGAAGUAUGCUUCAGCUCUGGUCUUGGGCGUUACCCAGUGGGAUUGGACAACCCCCUUUGAAACCUUAUCACCUGCCUUAUUUGGUGAAGAACAUUCUGUUGAAACUCCUUUGUGUGUCCCCCCUGUAAAAAUAGAGUCCAGGUGCACGCACUCUUUUGCAGCACCUUCCAGCGUGAAGCUGAUCCUUAAGGUCGCAGAGCCAUCCCACCCUGGAUACGAGGACUACUUCUGUGUCCUGUGCUUUCUUUUCUUAGCUGAAUGCUGUGGCCAGCUCUUUUGAACCCAGCUCAUCUCGUCAGCACAGGUCUCUGGUGAGACACAUCUGUGCCCAGGUAGAAUGAGUUCUAUCUCUGACAUCAAUGCCUUCAACUUUAAGGGGGGCUGUGUGUGUUCCCUUUGGCUCCAGAGACCUCUCCCACAGCCAGCUAACUUGGCCCUGCAUCCCGCCUGCUGACAGGUUGCCUUCUGAACGUCCUAUUCCCAGCAGGCUCCACAGGCUCCAAGUAAAAUUUAAAAAAUGGACUGGGGAUGUAGCUCAGUGGUAGAGCACUGGCUUGGUAUGCACAAGCCCUGGGUCCAAUCCUCAGUUAAAAAAAAAAGAAAGAGAAAUAUUAAAUAUAAUGGA